rnacentral:rRNA from 1 species
UGGUAGUGUAUUGGACAACCAUUGGUAGUGUAUUGGACAACCAUGGCAGUCAUGGGUAACGGAGAAUUAGGGUUCGAUUCCGGAGAGGGAGCCUGAGAAACGGCUACCACAUCUACGGAAGGCAGCAGGAGCGAAAAUUGCCCAAUCCUGACACAGGGAGGCAGUGACAAGAAAUAUCAACUCCUGGAUUUCUAGGAAGUGAAAUGAGGAUAAUUUACAACCCUUACCGAAAGCAAUUGGAGGGCAAGUCUGGUGCCAGCAGCCGCGGUAAUUCCAGCUCCAAUAGCGUAUAUUAAAGUUGUUGCAGUUAAAAAGCUCGUAGUUGAAACUCUGGCUGUUCGAUCCUCGAGCUCUGUAGCCGGGGACUCGACAGUCAUCCGCUUGCAAACAUAUGUUCGCCUUUAACCGGGUGGCUAUGUGAGCAAGCAUUUUACCUUGAGAAAAACAGAGUGUUCCAGGCAGGUUUGUCCGGAAUGCAUUAGCAUGGAAUAAUAGAAUAUGACUGAAGUCGAUUUAUUGGUUUGAGGCUUUAGUAAUGAUUAAUAGGAACAGUCGGGGGCAUUGGUACUUGACAGUCAGAGGUGAAAUUCUAGGAUUUGUCGAAGACUAACAAAUGCGAAAGCAU